rnacentral:rRNA from 1 species
GACGAUCAGAUACCGUCGUAGUCUUAACUAUAAACGAUACAAACCAGAGAUAGGACACUGUCCAUCUCGACUCCUUCUGGAUCUCGGAGAAAUUAAAGUCUUUGGAUUCUGGGGGGAGUAUGGUCGCAAGGCUGAAACUUAAAGGAAUUGACGGAAGGGCACACAAAGAGUGGAACCUGCGGCUUAAUUUGACUCAACACGGGAAAACUCACCAGGUCCGGAUACACGGAUGAAAGUCAAGCUGAAAGACUUUACUCAAUGAUGUAAGUGGUGGUGCAUGGUCGUUCGUGGUUCGUGGAUUGAUUUGUCUGGUUAAUUCCGAUAACGAGCGAGACCCUAUCGUUCCUAAUAGGGGGCUGCAGCCAAACUGGUCGAAAGAUCGGUUAGCUGCGGCUUAAGAUGAACUUCUUAGACGUAUCAGAGCCGAUAAGGUUCUUGAAAUGGGUUAAUAACAGGUCAGUCAUGCCCUUAGAUGUUCUGGGCCGCACGCGCGUUACAAUGGCACGUA